rnacentral:sRNA from 1 species
GGCGGCGGCAUCGGCAGGCGAGGGAGAGGAGGAGGUCGACGGGAGGCGAUUCGGACGGUUCUUGGCGGAGCCACUUCGUGAGGCCGGUCCGGUCUGCGGCGGUAGGCAGCCUCCUCGUCUCAGCUCCAUGCGGCAUGGCCACCGAGAUGACGGGCGCCCGCGCAAGCCGGUCCUCCAGGGACAGGGAGUCCUCGAUUUGAUUCUAUAGGCCUGAGGAAUUGGUGAGUCCUCGUCCUUUCCUAUUGAUUUGUUUGCUGUAUGCCUGGUCUGUGAUUUUUGUGCAAUCUCCCUCUCUUGUUUAGGAUGGUUGUCAUUUGGAUAGUAGGAUGGUUGUCAUUUGAUUAGUGCAUACCCGUUUAGUAUUGAAUCGAUAGACAAUAAUUGCAGUGUUGUGAUUUUUAGAUUGUUAAUUUUCAUAAAUUGGAAGCAUUUGUUCAUGAUGGCUUGUAGAUUAUAAACAAGUAGGAUAUGACAGUCUGGAGAGUUUACAUACAGGAUUACGUGCUUACUAUUUUGGUGGUACACUGGUUACCAUACACAGCCUCACAUGCAAAAUCGCUGUAUUGCGCUUGUUGGUAUAUGUUCCAGCAUUAGUGAACAAUUUGGCAUGUGAGUGCUAACUACAUCAGUCCAUGUUCGCGUAUCCAGUCCUGAUUUUACUCGUGCGUGCAGCCCUGUGAACCAUGCACAAAUGUCAGGUGAAUCAAGCCAGGCAAUUGUGCAGUGCACAUUGGUAUCUAUAGACCUUCUGUGGCUUCUUCUGUCUAUUGCACGCUAUGUUUCAUGCUUACUGAUGUGGAUGGACAAACAGUGCAUCCCUAGGUUAUAUACUGUUCAAAUAAUAUAACUAAACUAUUAACUGAAAUAUUCGAUUAUUGGCUUCUUCGUAUCCCACAAGUGUAUUGGAACAUAUGAGGUAGGGACACACGUCAUUUUGAUGGUGCCAAACAUUUGUUGUGGAUUGUGUUGCAGCCUUGCACAAAUCAUGGGAGUCAUUGGUCCGGCCCAUUUGACCUCAUCUCCUGAAAGUAAAUGGUGCCGUCCACCAAGGUUGGAUGCUUGUGCUCCUCCUAUCUUUUGAUCCUUCCUAUUCCUCUCGGCCACAUCUACCCAAUUUGCAUUUUCACAUAAGCGCAAGCAUCCAGCAACGAAGCUCUGGCAGAACACUUGUCCCUUUCCAAUCCAGUGGCAUCAGAGUGUGGCGUAUGAUUGUCAUCGCAAGUGACCAUGGUCCCUAACAAUAUGGCUCUGCUAGCUCCUCAAGCUUGUUGCCACACAUUGGUGCAAGUUCCUAGGAUGAUAUGGACAAGAACUACUGCUCUAGUGGCGUGGCAUUUCUGAUGUUCCUACUGUUGGAUUCAUAUAGGUGGGAUUCGUUUAGGUGGGCACUGACCUGUGGAGGUGCUGUCACUCAUACCACUUCAUGGUGAUGAAGCCUUGCUGAUGUUGGUUAUUCCUGUGUGGUGAAUUGUUGUUUGGUCAGUGUUGAUGUCCCUUGUUAGAUAUUUUUCCCAACGUUGUACUCCUAAAACAGCAAGUUCAUUGUGUCCAAUUUUUAUUGAACUGUAGAUUGUCGUGUCACAUCUGCAGGAAGUAAAUACUUGGGAUUCUUUGUUCUUGUGGCUAGGUGGUGGCGCGAUUAUUAGUGAGACACAGCUUUUCAUGCUUCACGAGUCAAGACGCACUUCUUGACAGUUUUGAACCUUGGGUUAAUGGUGUUGCAUGAGCUUUUGGUCCGUAUUUAAUUCUAGUAGAUAGUAGUAUUUUCAGUUGCACACUAAGAUUGCAUGCAGUGCUUUGUUCUGUUGUCUUAGUUGGAAGUAACAAUUGCAAUCCUUUCUUGAUUCUACCUGUUGCAUUUGGUACAUGUUGCAGCAAUAUAUCUAUCUUCCUGGUAAAAACAAGAAUCAAUUUCUUUACGUUGUGUUUCUUCUGAAGUGUUGCUCCAAAGCUGUUAUUCUUUUGGUAAUUUAUAUCUACUUGGUGUUAAUUGUCGGUAACCAAGACCUAUUCUCCAUCUAAUGUCCAAGAGGUUCCAUUUGGUAUAGGUAAGUUGUUGCAUUGUGCCGGAAAUUAUCAUUUGCUAUUGUUGCUCUUGCAUUUUCAUGUAGUUUGGGAAUAACCUCAUGUUUAAACAAUUAAACUCAUAAUAAGACAAAUAUCACUUUGCUUGCAGCGCAUGUAAUGUACAAAUUUCUAGGUUGUAGCAUUUUUGUGUCUUGAAUGCUCUCGUAUUUUAAGAUGGGAUUGAUGCAUUUGUUAUACU